GACGAACGCUGGCGGCGUGCUUAACACAUGCAAGUCGAACGCUGAAGACCUGGCUUUUGUUGGGUUGGAUGAGUGGCGAACGGGUGAGUAACACGUGAGUAACCUGCCCUCUUCUUUGGGAUAACGCCCGGAAACGGGUGCUAAUACUGGAUAUUCACUGGCCUUCGCAUGGGGGUUGGUGGAAAGGUUUGUUCUGGUGGGGGAUGGGCUCGCGGCCUAUCAGCUUGUUGGUGGGGUGAUGGCCUACCAAGGCUUUGACGGGUAGCCGGCCUGAGAUGGUGACCGGUCACAUUGGGACUGAGAUACGGCCCAGACGCCUACGGGAGGCAGCAGUGGGGAAUAUUGCACAAUGGGCGAAAGCCUGAUGCAGCGACGCCGCGUGAGGGAUGGAGGCCUUCGGGUUGUAAACCUCUUUCGCUCAUGGUCAAGCCGCAACUGUGGGUUGUGGUGAGGGUAGUGGGUAAAGAAGCGCCGGCUAACUACGUG
rnacentral:rRNA from 1 species